GAAAGGAAUGUUUUAAGUAAAAGCAACUAUACGGUGAAACUGCGAAUGGCUCAUUAAAUCAGUUAUCGUUUAUUUGAUAGUACUUUACUACAUGGAUAACCGUGGUAAUUCUAGAGCUAAUACAUGCUAAAAACCCCGACUUCGGGAGGGGUGUAUUUAUUAGAUAAAAAACCAAUGCCCUUCGGGGCUCUAUGGUGAAUCAUAAUAACUUAACGAAUCGCAUGGCCUUGCGCCGGCGAUGGUUCAUUCAAAUUUCUGCCCUAUCAACUUUCGAUGGUAGGAUAGUGGCCUACCAUGGUAUCAACGGGUAACGGGGAAUUAGGGUUCUAUUCCGGAGAGGGAGCCUGAGAAACGGCUACCACAUCCAAGGAAGGCAGCAGGCGCGCAAAUUACCCAAUCCCGACACGGGGAGGUAGUGACAAUAAAUACUGAUACAGGGCUCUUUUGGGUCUUGUAAUUGGAAUGAGUACAAUUUAAAUACCUUAACGAGGAACAAUUGGAGGGCAAGUCUGGUGCCAGCAGCCGCGGUAAUUCCAGCUCCAAUAGCGUAUAUUAAAGUUGUUGCAGUUAAAAAGCUCGUAGUUGAACCUUGGGCCUGGCUGGCCGGUCCGCCUCACCGCGUGUACUGGUCCGGCCGGGCCUUUCCUUCUGGGGAACCGCAUGCCCUUCACUGGGCGUGUGUGGGAACCAGGACUUUUACUUUGAAAAAAUUAGAGUGUUCAAAGCAGGCCUUUGCUCGAAUACAUUAGCAUGGAAUAAUAGAAUAGGACGUGUGGUUCUAUUUUGUUGGUUUCUAGGACCGCCGUAAUGAUUAAUAGGGAUAGUCGGGGGCAUCUGUAUUCAAUUGUCAGAGGUGAAAUUCUUGGAUUUAUUGAAGACAAACUACUGCGAAAGCAUUUGCCAAGGAUGUUUUCAUUAAUCAGUGAACGAAAGUUAGGGGAUCGAAGACGAUCAGAUACCGUCG
rnacentral:rRNA from 1 species